GAUGAACGCUGGCGGCGUGCUUAACACAUGCAAGUCGAACGGAAAGGCUCCUGCUUGCAGGGGUACUCGAGUGGCGAACGGGUGAGUAACACGUGGGUGAACUGCCCUGCACUUCGGGAUAAGCCUGGGAAACUGGGUCUAAUACCGGAUAGGACGAUGGUUUGGAUGCCAUUGUGGAAAGUUUUUCGGUGUGGGAUGAGCUCGCGGCCUAUCAGCUUGUUGGUGGGGUAAUGGCCUACCAAGGCGUCGACGGGUAGCCGGCCUGAGAGGGUGUACGGCCACAUUGGGACUGAGAUACGGCCCAGACUCCUACGGGAGGCAGCAGUGGGGAAUAUUGCACAAUGGGCGCAAGCCUGAUGCAGCGACGCCGCGUGGGGGAUGACGGCCUUCGGGUUGUAAACUCCUUUCGCUAGGGACGAAGCGCAAGUGACGGUACCUGGAGAAGAAGCACCGGCUAACUACGUG
rnacentral:rRNA from 1 species